GGCUCCUGGAAAACACAAAACAGCACAUCGAAAUGACACACCAGAAUAGCUUCAGCACCACUUUAAAGGCAGCUAACAGGAAGCAUUGUCCUUUCCUGGCAGGAGAGAACUUCAAGACCAUGAUUCACCUUCUGUCACCUUCAUGCUGUCCUGCUGCAAUGUCCUUCAUUUGGUGUUGACUGCAAAUCCACAUGGAGAUAACAACUCAUCCAUCAUGCAGCAGCUGAUUUCUUAAAUGGGUCACCUCAAACAGAGCAG
rnacentral:lncRNA from 11 species